CACCGAUCACAGAGCUUUGGACCCGGGGAUUGGGGAGAGGGCGUGGUGGUCAUGGUGAGCUGCCCUCCCUCAGUGCGGGGACUGGUUGCGGGGGGGGGGGGUAAGGGCACCAUUUUUUCCUGGCUUCGCCCCUGACCUCCCGGCUCCCCCCCCACUCUCCCGCAGGUUCACAAAGUCUUUCCGAAUGGCCUGGCCGCUCAGGAGGGGACGAUCGAGCGAGGGGACGAAGUCCUGUCCAUUAACGGGAACCUCCUGAAGGACAUCAGCCACAGUGAGGCCCUGUCUUACCUCCACAAAGUCAGGCCUUCCAAGCAGGCCAUCGUCGUGAUCCGCAAGGUGCCUGAGUCGGAGAGAGCCGCCCUGCGCAGGGGAGGGGUCUGCAGCCAGAUGCCGCUGGCCAGUAGCGACAUGCCAGAGAGUUUGGGAGAAUUUAUCACAGUCGAGCUGGAAAAGACAAGUACAGGACUUGGCUUCAGUCUGGAUGGGGGCAAGAGCUCGAGUCAAGGAGACAGACCACUCACCAUCAAGAAGGUCUUCCAAGGUGGUGCCAGCGAUCAGUCGGGUUUGAUCCAACCCGGGGACCAACUGGUUAAGGUGUGUGACCAUGACUACCGGGGCCUAACUUGCUACGAAGCCUGGAAUCUCAUCAAGGCCCUACCCCCGGGCCCUGUGAAGGUGGUGAUAUGUAAAAAGACACUUUAAAUAGGCAGAAGCGGGGUUGGCCCGCCGAGGGAAACAUGGCCGCCACCGUGCGGAGCCGAGGACCCAACAGUGCGUUGAGAUAGCUUCCUUCGUCCUUGCCUGUUUUUCUCGAUCUCGUUUCAACAGCCAACUUGGACACUGUUAUCUCAAGGAUCCAGACAGACUCGAAAGGGACCAAAUCGGUUUUGAUGGAAUAUACCAGGCCAGAUAUUUGGCUGGAAAGGCCCCAGAGGUGUGGUAUCUCGAGGUGGCCUAACCAUAAACGGUUGGAAUGAUCAUGUAAUGUCAAUGAUUAGGCCUCACGUUAGUCCUGUCUUUAGUUCUGACCCUACCCCUCCCCUCCCCAUCAUUUCCCCAAUGCCUCAGUUUCUAUUGGCCUUGUAGAGGGGGCCCGGGCAAAACUGGGUAUCGCUCUCCGGUGGUUGGAGUCAUAGCCUGACACGUAGGAAGAUGGUUGUAGUUGUGGGAGGUCAAUCAUCUCACCUCCAGGAUGUCUGUGCAGGAGUUCCUCAGGGUAGUGUCCUAGGCCCAACCAUCUUCAGUUGCUUCAUCAACGACCUUCCCUCCGUCAUAAGGUCAGAAGUGGGAAUGUUCGCCGAUGAUUGCACAAUGUUCAGUACCAUUCGCGACUCCUCAGAUACUGAAGCAGUUCAUGUUCAAAUGCAACAAGAUCUGGGCAAUAUCCAGGCUUGGGCUGACCAGUGGCAAGUGACAUUCGCGCCACACAAAUGCCAGGCUAUGCCAUCUCCAAUAAGAAAGAAUCUAACCUUUUGACACUCAAUGAUGUUACCAUCACUGAAUCCCCCUCACUAUCAACAUCCUGGGGGUUACUAUUGAGAGAGAAUUUAAUCAUUGCCCCCUUGAUGUUCAAUGGUGUUACCAUCACCGAAUCCCACUCACUAUCAACAUCCUGGGGGUUACCACUGACCAGAAACUCAACUGGACCCAGCCCCCUAUCAAUACAGUGGCUACAAGAGCAGGUCAGAGGGGAGAUGGUGGGGAGAUUGUAAAUUUCAAACCAGAGAUUGCUAGAUUUGUGAGCUGGGCAAGGAGACGGUUUCAGGAUUAUGGAGCGAAAACAGAUAGAUGGGGUUGAGGUACAGAUCAUCCAUGGCCAAACGGAAGGCAGGACAAGCUCAACGGGCCGAAUGGCCUGUUCCUGUGUUGCAGACUCGAGAGGGGCUGUGUUUUUUUUUUCCUUAAUUCGUUCAUAGGAACGUGGGGAGCAUUGGCAGGGCCCAGGCAUUACUGCCUGUCGCUAAUUACCCAGAGGGCGGGUAAGAGUCAGCCCCUGUCGCUGUGGGUCAGGAGUCACGUGUAAGCCCAGACCCAGUGAGGACGAGAGACUUCCUUCACUACCUGACGUUUGCGAAGCCUACAGGGCUUUACAACAAUUAACAGCAUUCACUUGAUCGCUGUUCGGCCGUCUUUCCAAUGCCAGAUUUUUAUUGGACUUGAAUUUCGCCGUUUGCUGUAGCGAGAUUCGAACCUGCAUCCCCCAGAACGUUGGUUCGGAAGUCUGGGGUUCGUCAUUCACCAUCGUCAUCUAAUCCUGUUUCUGUGCAACAGGCUCGAGGAGUGGGGUCUGAAUGGCCUCCUGUUUCUUGUGUAACAGGCUCGAGGAGGGGGGCUGAAUGCCCUGCUGUUUCUUGUGUAACAAGCUCGAGGAGUGGAGGGCUGAAUGGCCUCCUGUUUCUUGUGUAAUAGGCUCGAGGAGGGGGGCGCUGAAUGGCCUCCUGUUUCUUGUGUAACAGGCUCGAGGAGGGGGGUGCUGAAUGGCGUCCUGUUUCUUGUGUAACAGGCUCGAGGAGUGGAGGGCUGAAUGGCCUCCUGUUUCUUGUAUAACAAGCUCGAGGAGUGGAGGGCUGAAUGGCCUCCUGUUUCUUGUGUAACAAGCUCGAGGAGUGGAGGGCUGAAUGGCCUCCUGUUUCUUGUGUAACAGGCUCGAGGAGGGGGCUGCUGAAAGACCUCCUCUUGUUCCUAUGUAACAGGCUUGAGGAGGGGGCUGAAUGGUCUCCUGUUCAGGGUGGGGAGGGGGGUGAAUGGCCUCCUCAUGUUUCCCUAUAACAGACUCGAAGUGGGUGGGGGCGCUGAAUGGCCUCCUCCUGUUCCUGUGUAACAGGCUCCGAAUGGGCCUCAUUGUGAGUUGUGUUUACACUGCUGCUUUGUCUGAGCGGGGCUGGGGGGAGAGCACAGUGGGCGGGUGCGCGUUCUGAGCAAGCCUCGCUUAGCAACAGGCUGCUGAUUGGGCAGGGAGUCGUUGGCGUGACAACACCUCUCUGACUCCUGGGGGGACGGACAGAGAGUGUGAACCAUGCAGAGAGACUGCAAGAGACAGUACCUCGCAAUUAAUGCGUCAAUUAAAAAAACCGAAAGAUCUGCAGAUGCUGUAAAUCGGGAACAAAAUCAGAAGUUGCUGGAAAAGCUCAGCAGGUCUGGCAGCAGGAAAAAAAAUAGAGUUAACGUUUCGGGUCCAGUGACCCUUCCUCUGAACUAGAACUCAGUACCAACCCAACUUAUGUCUUCAGAAAGAACUUGCUUCUCAUACAGUUGAAAAAGGUGUUUGGUACACUUGCCUUCAUUGCUCAGAGAACAGGAGUUGGGACGUCAUGUUGAGGUUGUACAAGACAUUGGUGAGGGAGCAAUGUGUCCAGUUCUGGUCACCCAGUUAUAGGAAGGAUAUUAUCAAGCUGGAGAGGGUUCAGAAGAGAUUUACCAGGAUGUUGCCGGGUAUGGAAGGUUUGAGUUAUAAAGAAAGGCUGGGACCUUUUUACACUGGAACGUAGAACGUUGAGAGGCGACCAGAUAGAAGUUUAUAAAAUUAUGAGGGGCAUAGAGAGAGUUAAUGGUAGGUGUCUUUUCCCUAGGAUGGGGGAAUUUCAAGACGAGGGGGCACAUUUUUAAGGUGAGAGGAGAGGGAUUUAAAAAAGACACAAGCAGCAAAUUUUUUACACAGAGGGUGGUUCAUGCGUGAGAUGAACUUUCAGAGGAAGUGGUGGAUGUGGGUACAGUUACAACGUUUAAAGGACAUUUGGAUAAGUACAUGGAUGGGAAAGGUUUGGAGGGAUAUGGGCCAGGAGCAGACAGGUGGGACUAGUUUAGUUUGGGAUUAUGGUCGGCACGGACUGGUUGGGCCGAAGGGUCUGUUUCUAUGCUGUACAACUCAAUGACUUUGUAACUAAAAGGAUUCGGUUACGACGAUCGGAGAGGAGAUGCACCCUGUAAAAAGCAGAAUGGACAACUUAUCGAAUCCUGUGGCCCUACUGAACUGUAUUUCGCCAGUAGUUUUCUGGUUGUUUGUGUUUAUUUGUACGUGUGUGCAAGGGUUUAGAAUUCCAAACAAGUAGAUUGAUGUCUGUAAGUCAUAUGUUUGUGAAUCUGUAGUUGGAUUGAAAGUAGUUGGAUUGAUUGUAGUUGAAAAUGGAUUCAUAAAUUGUAGUUUUUUGCUAA